rnacentral:rRNA from 1 species
GAUGAACGCUGACAGAAUGCUUAACACAUGCAAGUCAACUUGAAUUUGGGUUUUUAACUUAGGUUUGGGUGGCGGACGGGUGAGUAACGCGUAAAGAACUUGCCUCACAGCUAGGGACAACAUUUGGAAACGAAUGCUAAUACCUAAUAUUAUGAUAAUAGGGCAUCCUAUAAUUAUGAAAGCUAUAAGCGCUGUGAGAGAGCUUUGCGUCCCAUUAGCUAGUUGGAGAGGUAACGGCUCACCAAGGCGAUGAUGGGUAGCCGGCCUGAGAGGGUGAUCGGCCACAAGGGGACUGAGACACGGCCCUUACUCCUACGGGAGGCAGCAGUGGGGAAUAUUGGACAAUGGACCAAGAGUCUGAUCCAGCAAUUCUGUGUGCACGAUGAAGUUUUUCGGAAUGUAAAGUGCUUUCAGUUGGGAAGAAAAAAAUGACGGUACCAACAGAAGAAGUGACGGCUAAAUACGUGCCAGCAGCCGCGGUAAUACGUAUGUCACGAGCGUUAUCCGGAUUUAUUGGGCGUAAAGCGCGUCUAGGUGGUUAUGUAAGUCUGAUGUGAAAAUGCAGGGCUCAACUCUGUAUUGCGUUGGAAACUGUAUAACUAGAGUACUGGAGAGGUAAGCGGAACUACAAGUGUAGAGGUGAAAUUCGUAGAUAUUUGUAGGAAUGCCGAUGGGGAAGCCAGCUUACUGGACAGAUACUGACGCUGAAGCGCGAAAGCGUGGGUAGCAAACAGG